AUGGAAACAUACAUUCUUCUUUACCAAAUUACCGAGUUUGAAUAAUACAUAAAGCGAAGUAAUAAUAGUAACAGGUACAACUGUGAACAUCCACUAGGAACCCCCAAAACCUAGUGCCACAAUUGCAUGAGCAUCUACUAGGAAAUAUCAUACUACUACAACAUAUGUCUGGAAUAUAUAAUAGACAGGAUAAAUAAAUGAAUAAGAGGGACUCUGUAUACUGUAGAUCGUAACAUAGAAUGCAGCUCACCACAAAGUCUCCUUAGCAGUUGUGCCUAUACACUAAGAUAACCACCAAAUGUAUCUGUCUCAAUAGCUGCACAAUUAGUACAGAAGUGUAGUAUAAGUAAGUAAAUCAACAGUACCCAGUAAGUAUCUAGCCUAACCCCGAAGAAGUAGUGAUGAGGGAUCGAUAUUGAUACUAACUAGUGGUCCAAUAAAUCAAGUAUAAUAAAAGUAGACAGGUACGAAGCAUGGCAAGUAUAACAAUGAGAGGAAAUAUAUGUACAUAACACGAUCCGCAAUAGAAGAAUAAAUACGAAGUCCUUAAUAACCGGACACUACCUCGAAUGAAAUCCAUAACGGUCAACACCAGAUAAAAUGUCACAUCUAAAUUCAGGAAAACUCAUAGGUACACUGACUCCUUAUAAAAAAUUAUGCACAUUUCUGCCGAGCUGAACGACCUGAUCCCAUAAGAGUGUUUCAUAGAACUACCAAGGCGAAUGACCUGAUCCCAUAGGAGUGUGUUAGACCCAAUCCCAUAAGAGUGUGUUACAUAAUCCUGCCGAGGCGAACAACUUGAUCACAUAAGAAUAUGAUAUAUGAUACUGCUGAGGUGAACAGUAUUAUCCCAUAAGAAUAUGUACUUUGCCGAUACGAAUGGCCCGAUCCUAUAAGAGUGUGAUACAUUAUACUACCGAGGCGAACAACCUGAUCACAUAUGAAUAUUGAUGAGGAAUUCUGCCCGAACCCAUUAGAAUAUGAAACUUUGACGGGUCACUGGCCCCACUCACGAAUAUACGUGUGAGUUAUAAAAUGUAAGAAAAUUUUCGAACAAAUAUGCACAAUGCGGAAGAAAUUCGUAAAAAAGGAAGUAUAAUGUCCCCCACAAAUUUAGUAUCUCGUCAAUUAUCUAAAAUAACAAGUUUGAUACUCUACGCGAGUCUAGUCUCAGUCUAAAUUUAAAUUAAAGCAUUUAAACAGGCAAGAACAACUCAAACAGUACAAUUAAAGCGUGGCGUAAGUCUAAGUCUACCUGGACAUAAUUAGGAAUUCUAGCAUACGCAUGGAUACUCGUCACAUCAAACGUGCGUAGCUCCCACAAAAUGUAGCACAUAACAAAUAUAACACCUACGGGAUAAAUUCCCCCUCACAAGGUUAGACAGGAGACUUAACUCGCUCCAAAAUUUGAUAACCGGUUCCAACGCCUCUCUAACACCUCAAACCAAUGCCAAACAUUUCGAAAUUAGUCAAAGAAUGUGAAAACCAAUCAAAAUAUAAUCAAAGACUCAUAAUUUAAUCAAUUAGAAAUAAUUCACAUCUCAACUCGAAAAGUCAACAAAGUCAACCUUCGGGCCCACGCCCGAAUUCCAAAAAUUCUCGAAGAUAAAUAUCACUCAUAGCACUACGAACUCAAAUAUAUAAUUUAUUCCUAAUUUCAUGUCCAAUUUUGUGGUCAAAAUUCAAAAUACUAUUUCUAGGGUUUCUUCCAAAUUUCCACAAUUUCAACCAAUUUUCAUGUUAAAAUUCAUAUAUAAUCCAUGUAUUUAACUUACAAUAAGUGAGAACCACUUACCUCAUGAUAGCUUAUGAAAAUGGCUCCCCCAAAUCGCCUUAGCAAAAGAGAAAUGAGUUGAAAUGAGCAAAUUCCUGAUUUGCAACUUAUGUUUUGCCUAGAACAUUCCUCUUCGCGAUCACAAAAGAACCCUCGCGAUCGCGAAGGCCAACCAACCUCGCCCAGGGAAACCUUUUACGUGGACGCGAGACUCCACUCGCGAUCGCGAGCCACUGCCUGAACAGGCUACGCGAACGUGAAAACGAACACGAGCCCAUGUCCGUGAAUGUAAAGGCCAAACAUUCCAGACAAAUGCCUUAUGCAAUCACAAAUAGCUCCCAGCGAUCGUGAAGAGAAACCCUACCAGGCCACCUCGCUAACGCUUCGUGUUCGUGACCCUUACCAUACGAACGCGAUGAACAACAAGACCAAGAAUCGCGAUUUCGAUCCCUCAGUUGCAAUCGCGAAGAACGAUUCUCCCAGCUCCCAAACAACGCUCAGUGAUCGCGAGCCUUUCUCCAUGAUCGCAAAGAACACCCCUGACACUAGAAACUAACAAUAGCAAUACAAGGAGAAAUGGUCUUAAACCACCCCGAAUCAUACCCGAGGCCCUCGGGACCCCGUCCAGUCCUACCAACCAAUCCUAAUACCUUAUCCAAAUUUAUACAAAGGCUCAAAACGCCACGAAUAACAUCAAAAUCACGAAUCGAUGAUAUCCUUCUUUUAACUUUCAAACAUUCAAACUUCGUCGAAUGCGUCCGAGUCACACUUGGACAAUCCGGAUCACCACCAAACUUCACACAUAAGUUCCAAACAGUAAAACGAACCUAUCUAAGGUCCCGAAACACCAUCAAGAGUCCGGUAAUACCAAAGUGCAAUCUAAGUCAAACUUAGCAAAUUUCAAACCAAAAUACAAACUUAUAGGAACCUUCAAAUCCUAAUUCCGAGAUUGUUUACUCAAAAAUAACACCUUGGUCAAUUCUUCCAACUUAAAGCUUACGAAUUGAGAAUUAUCCUUCCAAAUCAACUACGAACUUCUCAAAAAUGAAAACCAACUACACGUGCAAGUAAUAAUACAUGAAGUGAAUCUACUCAAGGUCUCAAGCCAUCAAACAAUAUGCUAUAUCUCAAAACGAUUGGUCGGGUCGUUACAUAGAAGGUCCAGUUAGUUGUGAUCCCUUAUCAUUCUGUCCAAUAUCCUUGUUCAAUACCUCAAAAGAGUUUGAGGUGAUAGACAUACUCCCCUCCAUAGCUGGUGAUUUAUGUGUAGGUGAUGUUACCCUACUAUUUACUUCUUUCCUUUUGUGUUUUCCUUCAAUCCUGUCAUCAGCCUUCUUAAUUUGUUAGGUCUGACUCAUUUGUGGUUUCUUCUCAUGUGGUUGUGGUUGUUUCACUUGCCCUCCCAAUUUCUGAGUUGCUUUUUGUUUCUUAAUCCAUGCCUCAUCCCUCUGUUGCCUUCUACAAUCUACUAACUCAUGUCCAAAGUUCUUACAUCUGGUACACAUCACUGGCUUCCAUUCAUAUUCCGCCAAAUGUUCAAUGAUCUUCCCAUGUUCAUUUUCGAACAUUAUCCUUGAGGGAAAUAUUUUAUUCAGUGGCUUUUCCAUAAGGACUCUUGCAUAGGUCAUCCUUUCCCUUUGUGAUGUAGCUCUAUCAGCUUAGGGGAUUCCCAAUCAUCCUAGAUUUCUCAGCUACGACACUAUUUUACAUCCAAACCAACUAGUCUAAUGCAAAUAGUAACCUUGUCUACCUUCUCUUUUGUGACUUCAGUAUCCGGCCUCCAUGGCUUAAACACACUAGGCUUUCGAUCAAACAUCUGUACAUAUGCUUCCACUGCUUUCCCUCUGUCUUCAAUAUUUUGGAAUCGCUCUAGGAAUACCCCUCUAUUCACUUAAGCUACCUUGUCAAUUCUCACCACCCCCCCCCCCUCUUCCAGAUUCGUUUGAAAUACCCCUCCAUCUAUUGGAGCUAAUCCCUUAACAGAAUAAGGGUUUGAGGUUUAAGGUUUACCUGAAAGAUGUUCGCCUGCAAUUUCCUCCUCAACUAGAUCUGCCCACGAUACUUUACCAGAAUUCAUCUGCUCUGUUGAUGAUUCGCUCGUAUUCCCGACCAGAAUUCCCAUUGGUAGGCUCGUUGUCAAUCGAUGAACCAUAUUUGACGGAAUAAUCCCUUGCCUAUACAUUCACACUUUUAGUUUUCCGAUCAUCCACAGAUUGCGGUAUUGUUUUCUUCGCCACAUUCAUAGUAGUGUUACCCCCUUGCAAUUGUUGCUCCCCCCCUCCAGCUAAGGUUGUGCUUUAGCCCCCAAUCUUUACCAAGUGUUAUUUUAUCUCAUAUUUGUUAAAUUGUCAUUUUCACUUCACAGUGAUAUACUAUCUUUUUAAUCAUUUAUUAGAAUUCAAAUAUAUUGA
rnacentral:lncRNA from 1 species